GAAGUGGGGAGGCUGAGGCAGCACCGCCCUGAACACUCUGGAUUGUAGAGCCACAUGGGGACUGGGUGGGUGAGAAGGGAUGCAGUACGUGUGGCUUUGGCCAGGUCCCCAACCCUAAGGAACCUCCACUUUCCCUGAGUCGAGCGAGUCCACCACGGAACAGAAGACAUGGGAGGCCUUCAGUGGGAGUUCCUUUGCUUGCCCUCAGCAGAGCGCAGAGUGAGCCUUGCACCCUGGGGCUCCCUCAGGCCACAGCAGCCCAAUGCCAGGGCUGCCCCCUGGCGAGCCCUGCUGUGUCCUAGGGCUGCUGUGACAAAUUAUGUCCAGGUGCAGUCUCUAGCUGCCCUGCUUUUCCCACUUGCUCCUUGAGGACAAAUGCUGAGGGCCCAGCUUGCACCCCACAAACCUGUCGCCAGCUGAGAUCCGGGAGAGGGCACAGA
rnacentral:lncRNA from 1 species